UAGAGGUUUAUAACGGAUGACAGUACAGUAUAGAGGUUUAUAACGGAUGACAGUACAGUAUAGAGAGAGGUUUAUAACGGAUGACAGAGAGGUUUAUAAUGGAUGACAGUAUAGUAUAGAGAUUUAUAACAGUUGACAUUAGAGGUUUAUAACGGAUGACAGUACAGUAUAGAGGUUUAUAACGGAUGACAGUACAGUAUAGAGGUUUAUAACGGAUGACAGUACAGUAGAGAGGUUUAUAACGGAUGACAGUAUAGUAUAGAGGUUUAUAACGGAUGACAGUACAGUAUAGAGAGAGGUUUAUAACGGAUCACAGAGAGGUUUAUAAUGGAUGACAGUAUAGUAUAGAGGUUUAUAAUGGAUGACAGUACAGUAUAGAGAUUUAUAACAGAUGACAUUAUAGAGGUUUAUAAUGGAUGACAGUAGAGUAGAGAGGUUUAUAACGGAUGACAGUACAGUAUAGAGAGAGGUUUAUAACGGAUGACAGUACAGUAUAGAGAGAGGUUUAUAAUGGAUGACAGUACAGUAGAGAGGUUUAUAACGGAUGACAGUACAGUAUAGAGGUUUAUAACGGAUGACAGUAUAGUUUAGAGGUUUAUAAUGGAUGACAGUAGAGUAGAGAGGUUUAUAACGGAUGACAGUACAGUAUAGAGAGAGGUUUAUAACGGAUGACAGUACAGUAUAGAGGUUUAUAACGGAUGACAGUACAGUAUAGAGGUUUAUAACGGAUGACAGUACAGUAUAGAGAGAGGUUGACUGCUGUUGCCACAUUCUUUUCAA
rnacentral:lncRNA from 1 species